rnacentral:rRNA from 1 species
GACGAACGCUGGCGGCGUGCUUAACACAUGCAAGUCGAACGGAAAGGCCUCUUUCGGGGGGUACUCGAGUGGCGAACGGGUGAGUAACACGUGAGUAACCUGCCCUUGACUUUGGGAUAACUUCAGGAAACUGGGGCUAAUACCGGAUAGGAGCUCCUGCUUCAUGGUGGGGGUUGGAAAGUUUCGGCGGUUGGGGAUGGACUCGCGGCUUAUCAGCUUGUUGGUGGGGUAGUGGCUUACCAAGGCUUUGACGGGUAGCCGGCCUGAGAGGGUGACCGGCCACAUUGGGACUGAGAUACGGCCCAGACUCCUACGGGAGGCAGCAGUGGGGAAUAUUGCACAAUGGGUGGAAGCCUGAUGCAGCAACGCCGUGUGCGGGAUGACGGCCUUCGGGUUGUAAACCGCUUUCGCUCAUGACGAAGCUUUGUGUGACGGUAGUGGGUAAAGAAGCACCGGCUAACUACGU